GUCCACGCCCUAAACGAUGUCAACUGGGUGUUGGGGAAGCGAUUCCUAAGUACCGUAGCUAACGCGUGAAGUUGACCGCCUGGGGAGUACGGCCGCAAGGUUAAAACUCAAAGGAAUUGACGGGGACCCGCACAAGCGGUGGAUGAUGUGGAUUAAUUCGAUGCAACGCGAACAACCUUACCUACCCUUGACAUGUCCGGAAGCUCGCCGAGAGGCGGGUGUGCACGAAAGGGAAUCGGAACACAGGUGCUGCAUGGCUGUCGU
rnacentral:rRNA from 1 species